rnacentral:piRNA from 1 species
CGUAGCCAUUGUGCUGUGCCUGCCUUCC